AUGCCCGACGCNNNNNNNNNNNNNNNNNNNNNNNNNNNNNNNNNNNNNNNNNNNNNNNNNNNNNNGUGGCCUUGUCAUGCCCGAGGAUGGUAGUGCCAUGCCCGACGAUGGUCUUGCAAUGUCCGAGAGUGGCCUUAUCAUGCCCGAGGAUGGCAGUGCCAUGCCCGACGCCGGCCUUGUCAUGACUGACGAUGGCCUUGUCACCCCCGAAGUUGGCCUUGUCAUGCCCGACGAUGGCCUUGUCAUGACCUUGUUAUACCCGAUGUUGGUCUUGUCAUACCCGAUGAUGGCUUUGCCAUGUCCGAGAGUGGCCUUGUCAUGCCCGACGCCGGCCUUGUCAUUCCAAACGCUGGCCUUAUCAUGCCCGGCGCUGGCCUUGGCAUGCCCGACGAUGGCCUUGACAUGCCCGACGCUGGCCUCACCACGCCCGUGAGUGGCCUUAACAUGGCCUGUAAUGCCCGACCCUGGCCAUGUCAUGCCCGACGAUGGCCUUGCCAUGACCGAGAGUGGCCUUGUCAUGCCCGAGGAUGGUAGUGCCAUUCCCGACGCCGGCCUUGUCAUGCCCGACGCUGGCCUUGUCAUGUCCGACGAUGGCCUUGUCACGCCCGAAGCUGGCCUUGCCAUGCCUGACGAUGGUCUUGUCAUGUCCGAGAGUUGCCUUGUCAUGAAUUUGUCAUGCCCGACGCUGGCCUUGUCAUGUCCGAGAGUGGCAUUGUCAUGCCCGAGGAUAACAUUGUCAUGCCCGACGUCGGCCUUGUCAUUCCAAACGCUUUCCUUGUCAUGGGCGACUCUGGCCUUGUCAUGCCCGACGAUGACUUUGAAAUGCCCGACGCUGGCCUCGCCAUGCCCGUGAGUGGCCUUGUCAUGCUCGACGAUGGCCGUGCCAUGUCCGAGAGUGGCCUUGUCAUGCCCGAGGAUGACAUUGCCAUGCUUGACGUCGGCCUUGUCAUGCAAAACGCUAGCCUUGUCAUGCCCGACGCUGGCAUUGUCAUGCCUGACUAGGCCUUUCCAUGCUGGACGCUGGCCUCGCCAUGCCCAAGAGUGGCCUUGUCAUGGCCUUAUCACGCUUGAAGCUGGCCUUGCCAUGCUCGAUGAUGGCCUUGUCAUGUCCGAGAGUUCCCUUGUCAUGACCUUGUCAUGCCCGACGCUGGCCUUGUCAUGCCCGACGUUGGCCUUGUCAUGCCCGACGAUGGCUUUGCCUUGUCCGAAAGUGACCUUGUCAUGCCCGAGGAUGACAUUUCCAUGCCCAACGCCGGCCUUGUCAUGCAAACGAUGUCCUUGUCAUGCCCGACAUUGGCCUUGUCAUGCCCGACGAUGGCCUUGUCAUGCCCUACGCUGGCCUUGUCAUGCCCGACCGAGGCCUUUUCAUGUGCAACGAUGGCCUUGCCAUGCCUGGCGCUAGCCUUGUCAUGUCCGAAUGUUGCCUUGUCAUACCCAACGAUGGCCAUGCCAUGUCCGACGAUGGCCUUGUCAUGCCCGGCGCUGGCCUUGUCAUGCUCGGAACCCGAAGGUCAAGAUCUUCGGACGGAAGGUCGGUUUGGUUGGGUUGGAUAUUUAAAUUCGGGGGACGGGAUGGGAACGACUCCCUUAGGGUCUUCCCUGGGCGUCAAACAGUUGACUUAGAACUGGUACGGACAACGGGAAUCCGGCUGUUUAAUUAAAAAAAAAGAAUUGCGAAGGUCCCUGCGGAUGUUAACACAAUGUGAUUUCUGCCUAGUGCUUUGAAUGUCAAAGUGACGAAAUUCAACAAAGCGCUGAUUAACGGACCGAGUAACUAUGACUCUCUUAAGGUAGCCAAAUGCCUCGUCAUCUAAUUAGAGACGCGCAUGAAUGGAUUAACAAGAUUCCCACUGUCCUUGUCUACUAUCUAGCGAAACAACAAUCAAGGGAACGGGUUUGGCAGAAUCCGCGGGGAAAGAAGACCCUAUUGAGCUCGACUGUAGUCCGACUUUGUGAAAUAAUUUGAGAGGUGUAGGAUAAGUGGGAGCCUCGCGGCGAAAGUGAAAUACCACUACUUUUAACGUUAUUUUACUUACUCCGUGAGCCAGAAGCGGGGCAUCACCCCUCUUUCUAAACUCAAGGGCCGCGUCCGCGGCUCAUUUUGGGUGGAGGACAUUGUCAGGUAGGGAGUUUGGCUGGGGCGGCACAUCUGUUAAAAGAUAACGCAAGUGUCCUAAAAUGAGGUCAAUGAGAACAGAAAUCUCGUGUGGAACACAAGGGUCAAAGCUCGUUUGAUUCUAAUUUUCAGUACGAAUACGAACCGUGAAAGCGUGGCGUAACGGUCCUUUAGACCUUCGGAAUGUGAAGCUAGAGGUGUCAGAAAAGUUACCACAGGAAUAACUAGCUUUUGGCAGCCAAGCGUUCAGAGCGACGUUACUUUUUGAUCCUUCGAUGUCGGCUCUUCCUAUCAUUGUGAAGCAAAAUUCACCAAGUGUUGGAUUGUUCACCCACCAAUAGCGAACGUGAGCUGGGUUUAGACCAUCGUGGGACAGGUUAGUUUUACCCUACUGAUGACAGCGCCGCGAUGGUAAUUCAACCUAGUACGAGAGGAACCGUUGAUUUGCACAAUUUGUCAUCGGCCUUGGUUGUAAAGGCAGUGGCGCGAAGCUACCGUGCAUUGGAUUAUGACUGAACACCUCUAAGUAAGAUUCCGGGCCAGAAGCGACGCAUGUGCCCGCUGCCCGAUUGCCGGCCUACAAUAGGGACUUCGGUCCCCAAGAGCACGCGUCAUAGGCCCAGCCCGCGCGUCGGAUGCGUUGUGCGGGCCGCCUUGAAGCAUAAUUUCCUCCGAGC
rnacentral:rRNA from 1 species